GCCGAAAAUAUAACGGGGCUCAAGUCUGGUGCCGAAGCUUCGGGUUCUCGUAAGAGAGCGGUAGCGGAGUAUUCUCAGACAGAUACAAGGUCUAUCGUAAGAAGGGCUGAUGGGUCUGAGAAGAGCUUAUGCAGGCAUGAGUAGCGAUAAACCGGGUGAGAAGCCCGGUCGCCGUAAGCCCAAGGUUUCCUCGGGAAGGAUCAUCCUCCGAUGGGUUAGUCGGACCCUAAGCCGAGGCCGAAAGGCGUAGGUGAUGGAAAGCAGGUUAAUAUUCCUGCACCACUCGGGAUGGCGUUGAACUGAGCGGGGACGGAGAAGGAUAGGCCGAUCCAGGCGUUUGGUUUGCCUGGUUCAAGCCCGUAGGCGGAUUCCGUAGGACCCAAUAGGGACAAACGCGGAGUCAACGCCGAGAGGUGAUGAGGAGAGGCUUCGGCCUCGAAACUCGGUGAUUCCAAGCUCCCAAGAAAAGCCGCGCAGUGAGCCCCUCGAGUGACCGUACCGCAAACCGACUCAGGUGGGCGGGAAGAAUAUUCCAAGGCGCGUGGGAGAACGCUGGUUAAGGAACUCGGCAAAUUGGCACCGUAACUUCGGGAGAAGGUGUGCCCCCUGUACGUGAAGACCCUUGCGGUCGUAGCGGAAGGGGGUUGCAGAGAAAUGAGGGUUGCGACUGUUUACUAAAAACACAGGACUCUGCGAACUCGUAAGAGGACGUAUAGGGUCUGACGCCUGCCCGGUGCUGGAAGGUUAAGGGGAGGUGUUAGCCGCAAGGCGAAGCUCCGAACCGAAGCCCCAGUAAACGGCGGCCGUAACUAUAACGGUCCUAAGGUAGCGAAAUUCCUUGUCGGGUAAGUUCCGACCUGCACGAAUGGCGUAACGACAUCCCUACUGUCUCAACCAGCGACCCAGCGAAAUUGUAUUGGGGGUGAAGAUACCCUCUACCCGCGGCAAGACGGAAAGACCCCGUGAACCUUUACUGCAACUUGGCAGUGAAGCUCGGAACAAUCUGCGUAGGAUAGGUGGGAGGCUAUGAAGUCGGGAUUCCGGUCUCGAUGGAGCCAACGUUGAAAUACCACCCUGAUUGUUCUGGUCUUCUAACCCAGGCCCGUUAUCCGGGUCGGGGACACUGUCUGGUGGGCAGUUUGACUGGGGCGGUCGCCUCCCAAAAAGUAACGGAGGCGCG
rnacentral:misc_RNA from 1 species